UUUAGGUUAGAUUUGAGAAGGUCGUUGCUGCACACUCCACUCAAACAGAUCAGAUUUAGAUGCAGCUGUCAUGGUGGACCACUUUAUUUCUAAAGCACUUAAAAUAAAACAUAGCAGCUGAACAAAGGGCUGCAGGAAAAUGAAAACAAAUGAUAAAAUAUAAGAAAAAUAGAAAUCAAACAUCAGAAAUACAAGUAGGAGUUCAGCAUUAACCCUUGUGGGUGCGAGGACUGAGGCAAACAUAGAGGUCUAUGGAAAAUGAUCCAGGUUUUACGUGUGGGGGGUCGAUUGGACCCCAUUUCGACAUACAAGGGUUAAACAGAGAUGCAGCUCACUCAGGGUUAAAACACAGAGAAAUAAAUGUGUUUUAAGUGAGUUUUUAAAAGUUGUAUCAUAGAAGUUGAUCAUUCACCAGGUUAACUCCGCAGUUACUGAGCUGUGUGUUUAUGGUUUGUGUUUUAUUUCUCUCAUAAUGUAUCCUCACUUAGAAUCACUUUAUAAGCAGCAACGUCUCACAAUAAAACAUUUCAUUUAAUCUAAUUCCUUCCUAGAUCAGGCCUUUAAUAAAGUAAACAGAGCGCUGCUGUGGGGACCACACCGUAUGAGAGACGAGGGACCCAGACCGAGGUGGCCGAGGCCCCGGGAAGCCUCGGAGGGUUUAUCGGUCAGAAAGGCUCCAGAGAGCCGAGAGAGACUCGGAGGGACCCGGAGCGGCAACACUUACCUCUGUUAACAAGUCAACAUGUUAUUUCCACCCUCCGCUCAAAAUGGCGACUGACUUGAGGAAAGAGAUCAAAGUUAGUUUCAGUUCCUGUUUCCACAGAAAGUCACGUGACUUGUGUUUUCUUCAGCGUCCAGAAUCAAAGUUUGAUUCAUUUGAAUAAAUAUUAACAGUUCAAUUUGAGUUUACAAAGUGAAAUAAAACUAGAAUAAAGAUCGAAAACUUUCAUUAUUUCUGUUUCGCUGUUAUUGAAGAAGAUUUGGAGCUGAGCAGCUUUUUGUUCUGCAGAAAACCAGCAGAACAAACGAGUUUAACAGGUUUUUGAUAGUGGAUUAUGAGCGCUCACU